rnacentral:rRNA from 1 species
UAUGGGAUGGCCCCGCGGUGCAUUAGCUAGUUGGUAAGGUAACGGCUUACCAAGGCGAUGAUGCAUAGCCGAGUUGAGAGACUGAUCGGCCACAUUGGGACUGAGACACGGCCCAAACUCCUACGGGAGGCAGCAGUAGGGAAUCUUCCACAAUGGACGCAAGUCUGAUGGAGCAACGCCGCGUGAGUGAAGAAGGUUUUCGGAUCGUAAAGCUCUGUUGUUGGUGAAGAAGGAUAGAGGUAGUAAAUGGCCUUUAUUUGACGGUAAUCAACCAGAAAGUCACGGCUAACUACGUGCCAGCAGCCGCGGUAAUACGUAGGUGGCAAGCGUUGUCCGGAUUUAUUGGGCGUAAAGCGAGCGCAGGCGGAAAAAUAAGUCUGAUGUGAAAGCCCUCGGCUUAACCGAGGAACUGCAUCGGAAACUGUUUUUCUUGAGUGCAGAAGAGGAGAGUGGAACUCCAUGUGUAGCGGUGGAAUGCGUAGAUAUAUGGAAGAACACCAGUGGCGAAGGCGGCUCUCUGGUCUGCAACUGACGCUGAGGCUCGAAAGCAUGGGUAGCGAACAGGAUUAGAUACCCUGGUAGUCCAUGCCGUAAACGAUGAGUGCUAAGUGUUGGGAGGUUUCCGCCUCUCAGUGCUGCAGCUAACGCA